CUACGGGCGGCAGCAGUAGGGAAUCUUAGACAAUGGGGGAAACCCUGAUCUAGCCAUGCCGCGUGAGUGAUGAAGGCCCUAGGGUUGUAAAACUCUUUCGCCUGGGAAGAUAAUGACGGUACCAGGUAAAGAAGCCCCGGCUAACUCCGUGCCAGCAGCCGCGGUAAUACGGAGGGGGCUAGCGUUGUUCGGAAUUACUGGGCGUAAAGCGCGCGUAGGCGGACUUUUAAGUCAGGGGUGAAAUCCCGGGGCUCAACCCCGGAACUGCCCUUGAUACUGGGAGUCUUGAGUUCGAGAGAGGUGAGUGGAAUUCCGAGUGUAGAGGUGAAAUUCGUAGAUAUUCGGAGGAACACCAGUGGCGAAGGCGGCUCACUGGCUCGAUACUGACGCUGAGGUGCGAAAGCGUGGGGAGCAAACAGGAUUAGAUACCCGGGUAGUC
rnacentral:rRNA from 1 species